UUUAAAUUAUUUUAUUUCAAUUUUAUACAUAUUUGCAUAUUUCAAAUCAAACCUAUAUUCUAAGUACACGUGUGUAAGAAUUUAAUGUUAAGAGUGGAAAUGUAGAUGGAUAAAGGAGAAGGCUCCUCCCCCAUUCCUAGUCCUAACUAAGCACGUACGAGUAUCAUGCGUUCCUGACCAUGGCCCUCAACUAACCAAUUUAUUUGCUUCUUCAUUACUUUAUUCCCAACCCUUUUCUUUUAAUUCAUACUAUCACAAUUACUCAUUAGACUACCAGUAUCCAAACUGUGGCUUUCGCUCGGUAAUGGUUGGAAAACAAAUGUCCCUUCACUCCUACGUUACAGACUUACAGUCAGAUGUAAGUUUUCUUUUCGUUAAAAUGUUGAAAAGAAAAGCCCUUCAAGUUCUUUUUUAAUAAUUACUAUAGAUUAAAAUUAUUUAUCGAAAUAUAAUAUUUUCUACCAUGUAAAGGAAAGUGAAUUUACUUUGAUUUUUCCCCAUAUUUCUCAUUUUUUUUGUAACAAGGGAAGGCAUAGCCUUAAGAAAAUUACUACAAGGGACUAUUUAGAUCAUCUUGAAGAAAACCGAAAACCCCAUCCUGUGGUUGCCUAACCAGUUGAAUACAGGCAAUCGGAUUGAAAAGAAGACUGGCCAAUUUAUCAGCUCCCUUGUUAGCUUCUCUGCAUAUUUUAUCUCAACCAUUUUAACUGAAUUUAAAGGGAAAAAUAUAUGCACACACUUCCCUGGUUUGAAGUGAAGCAACAUAGCUUUUAUUUCCCUCAUUUGCAUCCAGCUACAGCUACAGCUGCGCCUAAAUGACUGCCAUACACGUGUAUAUAGUCUUACAAAUAAUAAAGAAAUAAAAAAUAUAUUCAAGUGAAGUUUUCAAAUUAAAAAAUGUAAUGAUAGGUUUUUAUUCCAUGCAAAAAAAAAACAUGUAAAAUAUAUUAAAAUUACUCCUCAAGAAUCUCCAAUGCAAGAAGAAAAGUAAAAAAAAAAAUUGUAAAUUAUAUAAAGUAAAAUAAUAAUUAAUACCAAACGAAAAUAGAACUAUACCUAUUUUUUUAUUCAUAUCCUCUCUCGAUUUAUUAAAAAAAUAUAAAAAACAAAACACUUUUGUGAUUUAGAAAACUGGCUUAUUUAAGUAUAAAAAAUCAAUAACAAUUUAUAUUUAUUAUAAACAUUAAUAAAUUUAUCAUAAGAUUUUUUUAUUACACCAUUUAUAAUUGUAUAAGUAUUUUCUUCUGAAAAUUAUCUUUGAAUUUUGUCACAACAUCAUUGAAUAUUACUACUCGAAUUGUAGUUUCCAAAAAUAAUUCAAAUCAAAUGUAAAAUCAAUAUUAACUAAAGAUAAUUAAUUAAAAUUGAAUUAACACAUAAUACAAGUAAAUAUAAUAUAAAAAUUUGGAGCUAAAAUAAAAAAUAUAAUAUUAAAUUAAAUUAAUAAAACAUGAAUUAAUAUAUAGUACUAUUAAAAGUAAUAUAGAAAUUUGGAAAAAAGAAAAAUAAAACACUAUAAUAUUAAAUUGAAAUAAUAAAACAUUGAACUAAUUUAUACAUACUACUAUUAAAAAUAAUUUAGAAAUCUAAUAUAUAAAUUAAAGUAAAUUAUAUGACACAAAUUUAGCAAGUAAGCUUUAUUGUUAGAAUAUUGGCACUUGCACCUUAAAAGUAAGACCAUGUGGAAACAAAAUAAAUAAAUAAAUAAACUUGUCUUAUUUAAGUUGCAAUAAGAACAUAUUAUUGAUAGAAAAAAAUUUAUGUUGGAUAUUUCAUAUUAAAAAUUAGGACUAUAAACGGAUUUUUUUCUUUAUUUUUAAAUUUAAUAUCAAAUAAAAGGGGUUGUGAGUGAAACAGAAGAAAAGCAUUCGAUGAGGAUGAUGGAGGGGAAAACUCGAUUGGAGAUCACAAUAUUAUAAAAGUUCAGUUUAAAGGUUUGGAUUGUGAUACGUAUAAUGACAUGGUUGUAGAUUAAUUCUAGCACCAGAAAUCUCAUGGAAGAAUAAAGUCUUGGGUCGAGGAGUCCUUGAUUAUGGUAGGGAGGAGGACUUUGAGCUUUUGGAUGGAGAUGUUACGAGAUCUACGGUGAAUGGUAUCCCCGUUAUCAAUUUUUCAGAAAGGGUUCAACAAAUUCUAUUUAGAGAAAUGGCGACUACAGUAGUGGUUAAGCUUCUUGGUUAGAAUCUAUCUUAUUCUAUGAUGUAAAAUAGAAUUCAAAGCCUCUGGAAAUUGUCCCUAACAGUUCCACCUUAUGGAUAUGAAAAAUGGGUAUUUUCUGGUUAAGUUUCAGAGUCAUGUUGACUAUGAUAAAGCACUUACCCAGGGGCCUUGGAUCGUGCUUGGCCAAUAUCUCAUUGUUCAACCGUGGACAUCGGAGUUUGAUCCUCUCCACAAGCUUUCCCUUGCAAUGCGAUGGUAUGGGUCAGGUUGUAUGGUCUUCUAGGUUUCCUCUACAAACGCCAAAUUUUUGAGAAGAUAAGGGGUUUGAUAAGGAUGAUUAUCAAGUUGGACUUUCAUAUGGACAAGGGGUAGAAAGGGAAAUUUGUAAGGAUGGCGGUAGGAAACGAUUUGAGGCAACCCCUGGUCUCUCAAAUCAUGGUUAACGAGGUGAUACAGAGGGUGGAAUUCAAAUCGCUUCCAACUGUUUAUUUUUCUUGUGGUCGAUUUGGUCACUCAACAAAACUUUGCUCGGUAAGGGAGCCCUUAAAAAGAGAUGGAUGUGGGUGUUAGAUCGACGAAGGAGGACUUACUGAAGGCAAACAAUGUGGGAGAGGUGACGGAACUAUUCGCCCUUAAAUGAUCAUUGAAAAUCACGGCGAAAUCCGCAAAUUCGUCAAAUCUUAUAGACGAAAUGACCCGUGAUAAACGCUUCAAAUCUACUUAGAAGGAAAAUGGUUGUGAAUAGUGUGAUGGAAGCUGAUUUGUAGAGGAUCCAUUUCUAAAAGGAGAAUUUUUUUACGACUAAAACUUAGGGGGGACGUUCUAGGGUUAAAUAUAAUAAUGGUGUAGGGGCUAAUAAUGAAAACAAUUUUAGUGUCUUAGGUCAAAACAAUAUAGAGGGGGCAGAUUUUUU
rnacentral:lncRNA from 1 species